rnacentral:SRP_RNA from 1 species
GCUGGACAUGGCAGCGCAAGCCUAUAAGCCCAGCUACAAGAGAGGUUGAGGCUGUGGUGGGUCUCUCAAGCACAGGGCUUGAACUGUAGAGGCCUAUGCUGAUAGGGUAUCUGCAUUAAUUUUUGCAUCAAUAUAGUGAACCCACAGGAAUGAAGGACCACUGGGUUGCUUAAGAAGGGGCAACCCUGUCCAGGUCAAAAAUGAAGAAGGUCGAAGUUCCAAAGUUAAUCAGUAGUGGGGUCAGCCUAUGAGCAGUCCCUGAACUUCCAUAUGUCUAGCCUGAGUGAGAUGAAGAGACUCAUU